AUAAAAACCCUCAUUGUUGGGUUUUCCUAGCUGACCAAAGGUAUACACACACAAACACAUAAAUUUAUUCUUAGAAAACCUUCUCCAUUUUUAAGUUUUUUCUUCUUCCAAUUCAAGAAUCAAAGCUAGGCGUUGAUGCAUUUCUAGUAGAAGACAGUGAGGAGUAAUGGCCAUCACUCCUUGAUAUGAAUUUCCACUAAGGUUGACUAGCACACCUGAAGCUGGAUUUGAGGUAAGAAAAGUAUUCAGAUGCACAUAUACACAUAUUUAGUUAUGCAUGUAUUAUGAUACUAUUUACCUAGUAUACUAGAGAUAGCAGUAUGGAUAUACAUAGAGUUGUAUUUAGAUACCGAUAUCUAGUCCUAGAGGGUAUCGAAUAGUAUAAAUUAAUGCUACUAACAUUAUGAUUGGAGUGUUGGGAUUAGUUUGGUAUUAUGGUUAAUCAUACUAUAAACACGAACGUAUGGAUCUGAUCAAUAUAUGCAUUGGAUGCAAUUAGUAGACUUAUGGUAACUGAGUGUAUGGAUAUAUGUUGUAUUUAUAUGUAUGAUUUUCUUACUGAGUCUGUUGACUCACAUAUACAUUGUUAUGUGUAGGUAAGGAAAAAUCCAAAGCUGAAUAGCACUGAGUUGGGAGAUUGGUGAAGAUUGUACAUAUCUACUUGUCUAGACCUGGAGGGUUGCGUUUCUCGGAACAACCACUAGCAUACUUGUGUAAAUGUCAUUAGACGAUACUUUUGCUAUCUUAUGAUGUAAAAUAUUUUGUAACUAGAUUUAUGUGAUCCCAGAUUAUAAGUAUUUGUUAAAA